rnacentral:lncRNA from 1 species
CCAUGAUUUAAAUAGUUCUGAUUUUUUUGUUUUCCUUUUAGCCUGCUGUCAGGCUGUGAUAACUCCAGUGCUAAUUGGCUACAUGAUUUGAAACUGCAUUUUCUAUAUCCUAUUUUUAGAGUGACAACAUGAGAAGUGACAAAUGAAGCAAUUGAUUUCAGGAAAAAAGAAGACACAUAGAUAGCAAAAAGGCAUAGAUCAAAUAGCAAAAAGACACCAAGUAUUAAAAUGAAAUUAAUACUCACCAUUUUAAAUGAAGCACCCACAUAAAUAAGGAUGAGUAGAGUUGAACUACACAGGAUCUGGACCAAGAUAGGAUUACUGAAUAUCUCAAGAACAAUCAAGAAUGUAAGAAAAUAUCAUUGUCUGUUAAGACUCCAUCGCAGAGAAGUUAAAGAGCUUCAAUCACCAUGCUUUCAGGGUCAAUUUGUCUCCGAAAAGGAACAGAUGGGGAAGAAUUAUUCCAUUCACAGUUGACUUGUCAGAAAUUCUAAGAUCUUGGACUGGCUGAAAGCAAUGAUGUUGCCAUUCAUCCUUUCACGUAUUCAUUAUGGUCUACAGCUGAGAAGGGCUAUUUGGGGUUUGCUUUGCCUGAUGGUAGCAGAAGAAAACCAAGAGGCCUCUCUACGAAAGCUUGCAGUAAGGAGAAAGGUAAAAUGUUAAGUCUAAAGAGAACCAAAGAAAUUACCUGGUCCAACCUUUUCAUUCUACAAGUGGGAAAACUUGCUGAAAGUUGCUUAAUUUUUCUGGAUCUGAGGCACACAGUUCAUUUAUUAU